CCUACGGGUGGCAGCAGUGGGGAAUAUUGGGCAAUGGGCGCAAGCCUGACCCAGCAACGCCGCGUGAAGGCAGAAGGCUUUCGGGUUGUAAACUUCUUUUCUUAGGGACGAAGAAAGUGACGGUACCUCAGGAAUAAGCCACGGCUAACUACGUGCAAGCAGCCGCGGUAAUACGUAGGUUGCAAGCGUUAUCCGGAUUCAUUGGGUGUAAAGGGCGUGUAGGCGGGAAAGCAAGUCAGAUGUGAAAACUCAGGGCUCAACCCUGAGCCUGCAUUUGAAACUGUUUGUCUUGAGUGCUGGAGAGGCGAUCGGAAGUCGGUGUGUAGCGGUGAAAUGCGUAGAUAUACGGAGGAACACCAGUGGCGAAGGCAGAUUACUGGACUGUAAAUGACGCUGAGGCUCGAAAGCGUGGGGAGCAAACAGGAUUAGAUACCCUAGUAGUC
rnacentral:rRNA from 1 species